GAAGAGCUUGUUGGCUGGGGUUUAAACAGAGCGCAGUUUAAGUUAAUUUAUUUUCACUUGACUCCAAGGAGAGCUGCAUGCCCCUACUGUUAUCAGAGUUGAUGCGCAAAUAUUCUUUGCUAAGUACAGGACGUCAACCUGAUUCUCUGGCACCGGUCUGGGCUUUAAUCGGUCACCUGACACACACACACACACAGAGGACUGUGCUCCGCGGCUCGGCUCCACCUCGCUCGGCGGGUGUGUGAAGAAGAUCCAGCCCGUUAUUUCAAGGUUAUCUCCUGCAGGAGCCUCACUUUCUGGAUCCUAUGGGAAUUCUGAUAACCGCGGUGUUUCUCUGGGCUGCCGUCGGAGUGGGAAGCCGGCCAGUAAUCUCACCCCUUAAUGAUGCAAAGGUUGAAUGUAUUAUUCAGGAGACACUGAAUGAAGAUGGGUCACCGCACGAUUGUGGCCCACAGCUAGCAGAUGAACUUGAUGAGGUGCACAGGCAUCAGGGUCUUCUCAGGGAGCUGCAGAAACUGGCUGAUGAUGAGAGAGAUAAGGAGCAUGAUGAUGAACGUCAGCGGUACGAGUACAAUCUGGCCAAUGAUGAGAAGGAUGAGAAUGACUUCGAGGAGACGGGAGAGGACGAGAGAGAUCUGAGCAACCUCGCAAAGGAGACAGAGGGAGAGGAAGAAGACAAAACAGAGGAUGAUGACACCAAGGAGAAGGUGAUGGAGGAGCCGCGCAUUGAAGACAGAGAGAGGGAUGACGAGGAGGAACGAGCCAAGGAGCUCGAGGAGUUGCUUGCCGAAGAGCUCGCCAAGAAAGGCAAGGAGGAGAGAAAUGACGAAGAGCUCAAAGAGCUGCUGAAGGAGCUUAAAAAGAAGAGGUAUGAGGUGGUGAAGGAGAGGGAGAUCCAGAAAGGCGCUGGGACGGAGCACAAGGACAAGGUGGAGGACAAGAAGAAGGAGCAGCAGGACAAAGAAAAGAAGGAGGAAAUGGUGGAGGACUUGGAGAAGCAGAGGCUCGAGGAGAGGAGGAAGAAUGAGGUGGAACUGAUGGUGGAGAAAGAGAAGGUGGAAAAAGAGUUGAAGGAGCUGCUCAAGGAGCAGGACAGCAAGGGCAAGCCAGAGCAGGAGAGGGAGAGAAAGGAGAAGCAAGAGGAGCUGGAUGAACUCGUCAGGAAGAUGAAACGGGUGCAGGAGGAGGAACAGCAGGAGGUGCAGGGCAGGGAGAAAGAGGAAGACGAGGACCAAAAGACGGGGGAAGAGAAGAAGGAGGACAGUGAGAAGAAGAAGGAGGAGGGCGAGGAAGGAGACAAAGAGCCCGACUCUGAGAAAACAGAGACUGGAUUUAAGAAGGAAGAGGCAGCAAAGGAGGUGGAGGUGAAGGAGCCCCAGCAGAAGAGAGUAAUGGAGAAAGCGAGCGAUGAGGCUACACGGCAGUUUGAGCGGGAGCGGUACAAGGGUGAGGAGGAGGAGGAUGGAAACGGGGAGGACGAGGAAGAUGAGGAUGAAUAUGUCAGGGAGGAUGAGGAGGGGCAGCAGGAGGAGGAAGACAAUGAGGGUGAAGAGGAGGAUGAAGAAGAUGAAGGAGAAGAGCUGCUGGAGAUUGAAGCAGAGCUGCGCAAAGUGGCUGCAGAGCUGAGGGAACUUCGCAGAGGAUAAGAUACCCAUAACCCACACGCACAGCAGAAUGACAAAACCCCUUUGUUGCAUUCACAGUCACACAUUCGGCUCACACAGUUUCCAUUUAACAGCCUUCAAAUCCCUUCAACACUCAGAGGAAUCUGUAAAUGGACAUUAGUGCAAAGUGUACAUACUGUUGGUUCAUUUCUGCUUUUAGAUUGCCUGGAGGGAAAAAGAAUACUCUUUUUUUCUUCUCUUUUGGUCAUUUGGAUGUGUUUUUGUGUUGAAGAAAAAGACGUAGUUUUCCCAGAGAAUCUGAAAGCUUGUGCUCAUCACCGUUGCCCCUGUCUUCUCGAGUAUCUGUAAAUAACGUGCGUGAGGUAGACAGGCGAUAGAUGCAAUAGCAUUUCAGCACUUUCAUUCAGAUGUUAGUUUGAUUGCAGAUUGUCAGCCACGAAGAGUCAUGAUCAUAGCAAUCAGCGCUUCUUUUACUCUGAAGGUUUCAUCUUUGAUGGCGUGUUCUUGUUUCAGGAAAAAAAAAUACAGUUUCCCUAUUAUAAGUAGUUAGUGUAUUUUAAUAUACAGUAUAUUUUGUGCAAUAACUGAUAACUGUGUGUACCCUGCUGUUCCGACUGUUAACGAUACUGCUGAUAUUUGUACCCAGGAGGAAGUCGUUAUCUCCUCUUAAUUUCUUUGGCGACUUAAGUAGAAAUGAAGAUUGUUUGUUUCAUUCGGCGCACGCACUGUUACAGCCAGACUGUUUGCGACGAACCGGGGUGACACAAGCGAAACACACACUUGCACGUACGUCACACUUUAAGUUUGUCUUUUGCCUGGUUGAUCGUGUGGCAGAAGGAGGUGAUGUACUUACAGCUUACAAGGUCUAAAAGUGUCACCUCAGGUUUCUCAGCCAGCUUUGCACUCUUAUCUUAACAAGCCAAGGAGGAGCUGAAGGAAGGAGGAGAGGAAAAACUAAAGCCAUUUGUUGUCUUUUUGGUAACAGUGACACCGACAAUAACGUCGAUAAAUACUAGGUAGUGUUACAUCCCAGUUUUAAUGGCUGUCAUGUCAUUUCUGUAAAUAUCAGAUAUGUGGUCUGUAAGCCAAGGUCAUGGGAAAUAUGAAGCAACACCGCCCCCAAGAGGACACUGGGCAGAUAUGCACUUAGUGCAGGAUUAACAGGGUUGCUACUGGAGGCCCACUUAGUGCAAUAACACAGUAUAGACUAGAGCACACGCGAAUGCAAUAAUUAGCCAAAUACUGAAUUAUUUAAUGUAUUUUAAUAUGUAAUCAAAGUGCAUCAUGUGGUACUCGUAUACAAAUAUUUCUCUUUUUUCUACAAGGCCGAGAUUUACGAUACGUUUAUGUAUUUGAACACUGGCCGAGCCGACGGUCAACUUGUGUAAACACGUGGUAAUAAUACACGUUAUGAAUCAACACUGACGAUGUUAUAGCAAUCUAUUCCAAAGAGGAGAUGCUUGUUCGCUCAAAGGUUAAUCAACAUGAAUGUACUGUAGUUCCUUUUUCUAUAGAAAUACAAAAUGAAUCUCACAAACCAGCAGGAUCACUGCAGGAAACGUCUGUGGGGAGGUGACGCGCUCAGCAUAGAGGACAUAUGACACAAUAUGGAAAAAAGUGAUUAAAAAAGGCAUUUGUAUUAUUACUGGCCAAUCAGAGUGCUAUAUUUUGUGCCUGCUGUAUCUUCUUCUAUGCUACCUGUCAAUCAAUAAACAGAAAAGUAUACUCAA